rnacentral:rRNA from 1 species
GAUGAACGCUGGCGGCGUGCCUAAUACAUGCAAGUCGAGCGAACAGAUAAGGAGCUUGCUCCUUUGACGUUAGCGGCGGACGGGUGAGUAACACGUGGAUAACCUACCUAUAAGACUGGGAUAACUUCGGGAAACCGGAGCUAAUACCGGAUAAAAUAUUGAACCGCAUGGUUCAAUAGUGAAAGGCGGCUUUGCUGUCACUUAUAGAUGGAUCCGCGCCGGAUUAGCUAGUUGGUAAGGUAACGGCUUACCAAGGCAACGAUUGGUAGCCGACCUGAGAGGGGGAUCGGCCACACUGGAACUGAGCACCGGUCCAGAUCCCUACGGGAGGCAGAAGUAGGGAAACUUCCGCAAUGGGCGAAAGCCUGACGGAGCAACGCCGCGUGAGUGAGGAAGGUCUUCGGAUCGUAAAACUCUGUUAUCAGGGAAGAACAAAUGUGUAAGUAACUGUGCACAUCUUGACGGUACCUGAUCAGAAAGCCACGGCUAACUACGUG